UCAACCGGGGAGGGUCAUUGGAACCUGGGAGACUUAAGUGCAGAAGGGAGGAGUGGAAUUUCCACGUGUAGCGGUGAAAUGCGUAGAGAUGUGGAGGAACACCAGUGGCGAAGGCGACUCUCUGGUCUGUAACUGACGCUAGGGCGCGAACGCGUGGGGAGCGAACAGGAUUAGAUACCUUGGUAGUCCACGCCGUAAACGAUGAGUGCUAAGUGUUAGAGGGUUUCCGCCCUUUAGUGCUGCAGCUAACGCAUUUAGCACUCCGCCUGGGGAGUACGGCCGCAAGGCUGAAACUCAAAGGAAUUGACGGGGGCCCGCACAAGCGGUGGAGCAUGUGGUUUAAUUCGAAGCAACGCGAAGAACCUUACCAGGUCUUGACAUCCUCUUGACCUCCCUAGAGAUAGGGAUUUCCCUUCGGGGACAGGAGUGACAGGUGGUGCAUGGUUGUCGUCAGCUCGUGUCGUGAGAUGUUGGGUUAAGUCCCGCAACGAGCGCAACCCUUGACCUUAGUUGCCAGCAUUCAGUUGGGCACUCUAAGGUGACUGCCGGUGACAAACCGGAGGAAGGUUGGGAUGACGUCAAAUCAUCAUGCCCCUUAUGACCUGGGCUACACACGUGCUACAAUGGAUGGUACAAAGGGCUGCAAGACCGCGAGGUUUAGCCAAUCCCAUAAAACCAUUCUCAGUUCGGAUUGUAGGCUGCAACUCGCCUACAUGAAGCCGGAAUCGCUAGUAAUCGCGGAUCAGCAUGCCGCGGUGAAUACGUUCCCGGGCCUUGUACACACCGCCCGUCACACCACGAGAGUUUGUAACACCCGAAGUCGGUGGGGUAACCAUUU
rnacentral:rRNA from 2 species